rnacentral:rRNA from 1 species
UGUGUAGGCGGUUUUCUAAGUUUGGUGUGAAAUCUCCCGGCUCAACCGGGAGGGUGCGCCGAAAACUGGGAGACUAGAGUGCGGGAUGGGAGAGUAGAAUUCCUGGUGUAGCGGUGAAAUGCGUAGAUAUCAGGAGGAAUACCGGUGGUGUAGACGGCUCUCUGGACCGCCACUGACGCUGAGACACGAAAGCGUGGGUAGCAAAUA